AACGAACGCCGGCGGCGUGCCUAACACAUGCAAGUCGAGCGCGAAUAGGGGCAACCCUUAGUAGAGCGGCGCACGGGUGCGUAACACGUGGGUAAUCUGCCUGGAAGCUCGGGAUAACUAGCCGAAAGGUUAGCUAAUACCGGAUAAGCCCCCGGGGACUUCGGUCCUUGAGGGAAAAGAUGGCCUCUGUAUACAAGCUAUCACUACCAGAUGAGCCCGCGGCCCAUCAGCUAGUUGGCGGGGUAAUGGCCCACCAAGGCAACGACGGCUAGCUGGUCUGAGAGGACGAUCAGGCACACUGAAACUGCGACACUGUCCAGACUCCUACAGGAGGCAGCAGUGGGGAAUUUUGCGCAAUGGGCGAACGACUGACGCAGCAACGCCGCGUGUGUGAUGAAGAUCUUCGGAUUGUAAAGCACUUUCGACCGGGACGAAACUCCUUCACCUAAUGCGUGGGGGCCUGACGGUACCGGGAGAAGAAGCACCGGCUAACUCUGUGCCAGCAGCCGCGGUAAUAC
rnacentral:rRNA from 1 species